AUUCUGCGUCUGUGAGAGACAGAGGUGGGAGAGAAGAGGCUGAGUGAGACAGGGAGUGACAGACACACACACAGACGGUUGCAACUGUGAGGACAUCCCCAGCCCUGCAGGUCUCCUGCUAGAUCCCAGGAAAUGGUGGGAGAAUAGGUGAGGGACAGACAAGUUAAAUGACAAGCUGGGGCCAGCAGGCCUGGGAAAGGCCAAGGGCUGUACUGGGGAGGGUGGAUGUGACCAGAGCUGCCCUGAGGGACUGAACUGCCACAUAACACAGACAUAGAUGAGGGGUUGCACAGGGGUCUGGAGGGAGGCGAGUAUCCAGAGGGUCUGACCCAGUCACAGACCCAGGAACACGACAGCCAUAAUCGCUGUUUGAUGGGCAACAGGUGUCCCCACCACCUUUACUACUCCCCACAGGGCAGCCAGCACGGGCCAGGGCUACUGUUCAGAAGGAUCCACUCUCGCCACCAGGUGGCGCUACAACAUCGCCCUGCGUCUCUCACCCCAGCUCCCGGUGGCCAGACCCGCAGGCGGGAACCGGAGUCCUCCGCCCCUCCUAGGCUUUGGAGGGGAGGACUGCAGGGGCAGGUCUGGCCGAGGGGGGAAAGCACCCCCAACCCCUCGCUCCGCGGGAGAGAAAUAGGACGAGGCGCCGAUUACACACUGCAGACUCUCCCAGCCACUCCACACCUUUGCCCUCCUCCGUGCCCUCCACCCUUUCUUCUGUUCCCAGCAGGCUGACCCCCUGGGGGAGGACAAACCCCUCGGAGCCCCUCCUAGGGCCCCUGACCUCCACCCCAGCCUGCCUCAGGAACCACAGUCCCCAGGGUCAGACGAGACCCAACCAGCCCAGACCGGCCCAGGGAGCCACCCCACCUGGCCCCACCUUGCUCACCUUGGCCAGCUCUGCGAGUGUGUUGGCCUGGUCGUUCAGCUUUCCCUGCUCAAUCUUCACACUCCGGAGCCUGGGGACAGGCGGGUGGGUGGGGUUGUGUGGAGGAUGCAUUUGUUGGGGGGAUGGGGGAGUCCUUCAUGCACUUGCCCCACCCAGGGUUGCCCUGUGGGACAUGCAGUGGGGAGAUGAGGUGGGGGUUGGGGCCUGGCCCCCUGCAGCCCCCUCCCUCCCCACAUGUAGGGGGCAGCAGGGCCUGGGAGGCAGCUCCGCCACCACCCAAGUGACCACCGUCUGGCUAUGUCCACAGGGCCCGAGGCAGGAUGUCUCGGUAAAGCCUGCACUGGUCUGCAGGGUGGACACAAACCCUGGCCGCCUCCAGGAGCUACCCCGAGGAUGCACCCUGACCCAUGACCACCAUGCACCCCUGACCCUCAGGGAGAGACUUACUUCUGAGCUCUGGCAGGACCCGGUGGAGCAGAGAGAAAUCACAGGGCAAUUUUAAUCUCAGCACUUGGUGGGCAGCUCAUGCCCAAUGCUGCCAUCCUCCCACAUGCCGACCCCUGGACCCGAGGGGCUGUUGCCCUUGCUCUGCAGAGGGGCUCAGCUUCUGAGAGGGCAGUGCCAGCCCCCCAGAGAUGCAUCUGUCCUCUGCCCCCUCCCUCGAGCAGUAUCCACCCAGCCCCGGCCAGGACAAAUGCAGCUGCCCUCGCUCUGCAACUCUGCCGUCUGCCAACCUGUGCCAGGCACCUGGCCCUAGAGGUGACUUUUAGUCCAGGAAACUAUACCCAUGAUGUUUCCUAAGGGGGAAACUGAGGCUCAUAGUGGCAAAGCCAAUGGCUGGUAACACCCUGGCAGGAUCUGGUCAGCCUCUAUGCCCCUGGCCUCCAAUAGCUGCCCGAGGUGUGGGGCAUGGGCCUGUGUGUCCUCGCCCCUCCUCUCCAUGCCUCUGUAGUUAAACUGGCCAGGAAAGUGGUUCCAGGUAAGACUCUUCUUCACUGGUCCAAACUCAGCCCGUGUGCCCACAUGCGAUGGACGCAUGGGGAGGCCCCUUAGGGCCCACCAUGCUGAAUACUGCCGGGCCCCCCAGACCCAGCCCUCAGCCUGGAGAAAUGGAGGUGAAUACAGAUGGCCCCAGAAGGCUGCUGAGGAGCCCUGACGUGCCUUCCUGGGGAGUCAUUCUUGGCUUCUCUAUAACCUUUCUGUCAUCCGGGUUGAAUGGUGUUCCCCACACAAGAUAUAUUGAAAUCCUAACCCCUAGGACCUCAGUAUGUGACCUGGUUUCACCAGGGGGAACCCUAACCCAAUGAUUGGUGUCUUUAUACAAAAGGUGGAGUCUGUACACAGACACGCACAGAUGGAGGACAGUAUGAAGACGCAGGAAGAACAGCUCAUGACAAUGACCAUUGGAGCGAUGCAUCUGUCAGCUCAGAACGUCGGCCGCUGCCAGAAGCCAGGAGAGAGCCCUGGAACAGAUCCUCCCUGGCACCUUCAGGGGGAACAGGGCCCUGCUGACACCUGGAUUUUGGUCUUCUGGCCUCCAGGACAGUGAUCAUAAAUUCCGCCGCUUCAAACCACCCACUUAUUACAGCCACGGAGACACGCACACUCCCCACUCCGUCUCCUCCGAGACCACCUCUUCCUUUCCUCUGGCUUUGCACACAGCGCUCCCUUCGGGGGCCUCUCCAGCUCAAGGACGUGCCCGGCUGCCUCAUGCGUGCAGAGCAGACCUCGUUUCCCUGGCACGUGCUCGUGCCCACCGCCUUGCCUUCCUCAAGCUGUGGGCACUCCUUGGUAUGCAGCCUGCCUCUCAGUUUCCAACUCAGAUCUUAUCCACGCUCAGGCCCUACUGCACACUUGCUCGACUUCAUCAUCUGUUCUUACAGGGCUACUGGUUUUGGUGGGGGGUGGGGGUGCAGGGGGAUCUAAAGGUGAGUGCAACAGUCCUGCCCCAGAAGAGAUGGUCACAGAUCAUUCACAGAGCAGGUGCCUUCUCCCCAGACCUGGCUCUCCUCAGUUCUCAUACUCCUGCUUUCCCCAAAGAACUUUCUGGAACAUCCCAUAGGGCAAGAUCCAGGGCGGGGCCACGUCUACUGUCCCCCACCGGCUGGUGCAGGAAAUGCUUGUGGAAUGACAAAACGACCAGAUCGAGGGUGGAAGUACCAACAAUUCCAGUUCCUAUAUUUAGAAAACACAGUGUGGCAGUCAGGCCCAGGUGAGUCAUCGGUCGUCUGGACUGUGUUCGAUCGGUGUCACCCUCCUGGGAAAGAGGCACAUCACCAUCAUCUCCACUUUACACAUUAGAUACUUGGAGUAGUGUAGUCACCUGUCCAGGCCCCACUGUUCGGUGGGAGAGACCGGAUUGGGAACCAGUGGUCAGCUAAUAAGUAUGGGAGAGUCAGCAAGGAGAGGUCCCUGUCCUCAAGGGUCUCAAAGUCUUGUGAGGAGGCAGGACUAACACCUGGGCACGGUGAAGUCAAUGGAUACCAGCUCCUCUCCCGGGUGUUCAGAUGGUGGUGGAAGCAGAGGCAGAGAGCAGGGGCUGGGGGUGAGGGGGACGCUAUGUGCUACCAAGAGGUUGCUCUGUGCUGGGGCCCAUGCCAGGCAUUUCUGCGAAUCGUCUCAUUUAGACCUCCCGAAGUCCUGGGGAGUGGGGAUCAUUAUCAUUAGGAAGCAACCCAGUUAUAACAGCAAACACAAUACAUGUAAAGGAACUAAACUCUCCAGUUAAAAGGCAAGGAUGGAAAGCGGCAUAAGGAAACUUUUGGGGGGAUGGAUCUGUUCGUUAUCUUCACUGUGAUGAUAGUUUCAUGGGUGUGAAUAUAUGUUAACACUCAUCGAACUGUACACUUUAAGCAGGUGCAGUUGACUAUGUCAAUUGUACCCCAAUAAAGCUGUUUCUAAAAAAGAGGUAAACAUGAUUGAACGGAAUUAAACCAUUAAAGCCCAGCUGGUGAGCCUCUCCUCCCAUGGCCUGGUCUCUCCCUGGGAAGGGGUCAUUCUCCUUUACCUCUGGACGCCCCGGCUCUGGGCUGCCCCAGCCGCACCUGGGCUCCCUGCUCUAUCCACCUCCCCAUCCCACCACUCACACUGGUGUCCCCUGUGCGGCCUCUUGGUUAUGGUUGAGUCGGUUGCCUUCCUGCUGCACUAGCUCAGACCCUCACCCUGUUCACCUCACUCUAAGUCAUCAGCCCCUGAGUCUGGCCUGCGAGCUCUGGGGGCAGGAGCCCUCUCGGUCACCGAGGAGAAGCCACUUGUGAAUGGGUUUUCUCGUGAUCUGAGACGUGGGAACUCUCUUCAAGAGGCUCAUUCUGAAAAGUGCCUAAGAACAUGUUUUUACUCUUUUAAA